CCAACAAGCCUGCUGGUGACUGAGUGCACUGGGAAGAAGGCACUGGAAGGACUGGUACCAACUGUCAAUGAAUGCAUGGGAUGGGAGAUACACUUCGGCCUCCCAAGAGCUAGAUUGCAGGGAGUUAGGCUUCUCCAGGCAGAUCAGCCCCUAGGACGCUGACUUGGCUGUAAACCAGCUUUCGCUCUGAUAAAUUCACCAAGGAAUAGUUACCCUGGUUGGCUUGUUUGGGAACCAGUCAAAUGACGCUGGCACAGAGCAAGACCUUCUGACUCAGCUAGUUUGAUCCCAGAGCACAGGGCUGUUAUUAUGACGGCAAGGCGUGAUUAUGCUGUCCUUAACCCCAGUGUCAUUCCUGGUCCGACUUCUUGACCUAACAAGUACUUGUAACAUCUGACAUUUUCUGCUUCUGACUCAGAGCCUUUCAAGUCCUGGUUACCAGGCCCUCCGUGGGACCCUUUGCCUGCUCCGCCCCGUCGAGCCUCACCCAUGACACUCACAAGGGCCAGGGAGAGAAAGAGAGGUGAGAAAUCACCCCC